CCUACGGGUGGCAGCAGUGAGGAAUAUUGGUCAAUGGACGAGAGUCUGAACCAGCCAAGUAGCGUGAAGGAUGACUGCCCUCUGGGUUGUAAACUUCUUUUAUAAAGGAAUAAAACGAGGCACGUGUGCCUUUUUGCAUGUACUUUAUGAAUAAGGAUCGGCUAACUCCGUGACAGCAGCCGCGGUAAUACGGAGGAUCCGAGCGUUAUCCGGAUUUAUUGGGGUUAAAGGGAGCGUAGAUGGGUUGUUAAGUCAGUUGUGAAAGUUUGCGGCUUAACCGUAAAAUUGCAAUUAAUACUGGCAGUCUUGAGUACAGUUGAGGUAAGCGGAAUUCGUGGUGUAGCGGUGGAAUGCUUAGAUAUCACGAAGAACACCGAUGGCGAAGGCAGCUUACUAAACUGUGACUGACACUGGUGCUCGAAAGUGUGGGUAGCAAACAGGAUUAGAUACCCGUGUAGUC
rnacentral:rRNA from 1 species